rnacentral:rRNA from 1 species
UAAAGGAAGCGAUUCCGGCUACGGAUGGUCAUGCGUCGCAUUAGCUAGUUGGCGGGGUAACGGCCCACCAAGGCGACGAUGCGUAGGGGUUCUGAGAGGAAGGUCCCCCACACUGGUACUGAGACACGGACCAGACUCCUACGGGAGGCAGCAGUGAGGAAUAUUGGUCAAUGGCCGCAGGGCUGAACCAGCCAAGUCGCGUGAGGGAUGACGGUCCUAUGGAUUGUAAACCUCUUUUGUCAGGGAGCAAAGGACGCCACGUGUGGCGUUUUGCGAGUACCUGAAGAAAAAGCAUCGGCUAACUCCGUGCCAGCAGCCGCGGUAAUACGGAGGAUGCGAGCGUUAUCCGGAUUUAUUGGGUUUAAAGGGUGCGCAGGCGGAAUGUCAAGUCAGCGGUAAAAUUUCGGGGCUCAACCCCGUCGUGCCGUUGAAACUGGCGUUCUUGAGUGAGCGAGAAGUAUGCGGAAUGCGUGGUGUAGCGGUGAAAUGCAUAGAUAUCACGCAGAACUCCGAUUGCGAAGGCAGCAUACCGGCGCUCAACUGACGCUCAUGCACGAAAGCGUGGGUAUCGAACAGGAUUAGAUACCCUGGUAGUCCACGCAGUAAACGAUGAAUAGUAACUGUCCGGGCCGAUUGAGGUCUGG